rnacentral:rRNA from 1 species
GCCAUGCGUCAAGAAAAAGCCGCUAUCGUUUUAUACCGUACCCGUACCGUAAAACCGACACAGGUGGAUGAGGAGAGAAUCCUAAGGCCGGCGGAAGAAGCAUUGUCAAGGAACUCGGCAAAAUGGCCCCGUAACUUAGGGAUAAGGGGUGCCUGGGAAACCAGGCCGCAGAGAAUAGGCUCAAGCAACUGUUUAGCAAAAACACAGGUCUAUGCGAAACCGAAAGGUGAGGUAUAUGGGCUGACGCCUGCCCGGUGCUGGAAGGUUAAGAGGAGAGGUUAGCGCAAGCGAAGCUUUGAAUUUAAGCCCCAGUAAACGGCGGCCGUAACAAUAACGGUCCUAAGGUAGCGAAAUUCCUUGUCGGGUAAGUUCCGACCCGCACGAAAGGCGUAAUGAUUUGAGCGCUGUCUCGACAAUGCAUCCGGUGAAAUUGAAGUACCAGUGAAGAUGCUGGUUACCUGCGCCAGGACGGAAACGACCC